UGGGGAAUCUUGCGCAAUGGGGGCAACCCUGAUGCAGCGACGCCGCGUGAGCGAUGAAGCCCUUCGGGGCGUAAAGCUCUUUCGACCGGAACGAUAAUGACGGUACCGGGAGAAGAAGCUGCGGCUAACUACGUGCCAGCAGCCGCGGUAAUACGUAGGCAGCAAGCGUUGUUCGGAGUUACUGGGCGUAAAGAGUGCGUAGGCGGUUUUCUAAGUUCGGUGUGAAAUCUCCCGGCUUAACUGGGAGGGUGCGCCGAAGACUGGGAAGCUGGAGUGUGGGAAAGGCAGGCGGAAUUCCUGGUGUAGCGGUGAAAUGAGUAGAUAUCAGGAGGAACACCGGCGGUGUAGACGGCUUGCUAGACCAUAACUGACGCUGAGGCACGAAAGCGUGGGUAGCAAACA
rnacentral:rRNA from 1 species